AUGGGUUAUAUUUAGUUUGAAGAGAAAGAGCCACGAUAUUACAAGAUAAAAGAAGGGCAUAGCUCUUUCAAUUCCGUAUCCCAACAAGUUCUGCUAUAUUCUCUAGCAAUUCAAGUUGAUAACGACAAAUGGGAUCCCCCUUUUGCUACUGGGGUAGCCGAAAGCUUCAAUUGCUCGAGCUCUAUCCUGGUUUUGCCUCAAUGGGGUCGUCAUCAUACUUUAUUACGAGCUUUGCCCAGUUGCUAUAAUCAACUUCUUGACAUUGGUAAUCCUUACUUGUCUGAAAUUUUCUUGAGUUCCACUAUAAUAAAUACUGGCAUGAUCGCCAGUGACAGAACUGUCAUUUGAGGCCUUUGGCAUACUCAAUAGCUUCCUUGGACACAAACUCACAGUCACAGUGAUAUUGUUUGCCCAACGUGUAAUGAGCUUCAUAGUCUUUUCAGCCACUAGGCAGUAAUUUUCUGUCCUUGAGGUUGUUGGUCUCCACAACAAGGAGCCAACUAAGACAGUUCAAUUGUGGGCUGCGAUGACCUACAGUGCUGGUCUACGGCGUUAGACGAGACAAAUAUAAAUUUGAACUGUAAAUUGCAGAUUUUGUGAUUUUACUUAGUUGUUUGCCUCUUUAA